CGGACGGUAUCUUUGCUACAUGGCAGCUGUCGAGCUAGCGUUUGAAGAGAGAGUCUCCCUUCUCUAUUUACUGUGGAGAGCAGAGCAGCGGCGUUAAGGACGUCCUCGCCGUACCUGGGUCCAUCAGGUCCUCCAGACGCGUGAGCAGUUUGGUGAGUUUCACCACUUGCUCCAGGAGCUGCACCUGGAUGACGUUUAUUUCAGCGAUAUCUUCCCCUCGCCCAGUUUGAGGACCUGCUGUCCCGCGUUGGUCCAAGCAUCGCCCGCCUAGACACCAAUUACAGGCGCUCAAUCCUACCUGCAGAGCGCCUGUCCGUCUGCCUGAGGUUCCUUGCCACCGGGGACUCCUUCAGGUAGGGCUGUGCGAUAUGACCAAAAUCUCAUAUCCCGAUAUAAGACAUCUAUCGUCCGAUAACGAUAUAAAUCACAAAAAUGUAACAUUUUCUGUCAAUUCUGUGAAUCUCGGGCAGCUCGACUUGCGUGAAGUGUUUCCAGCUGCGCGUCGUGUAGCUGGAGUCGAGUGUUUUAACCGAUGCAUGAAACAAUACAUUUGAGACAUAAGUUGUAACGGCCGCCGUUUUCUUUGUAUUUAUUACACGGCGUGCUGCGGGGAAAAGCCUGUUCUAACGUUUGAGUCUAAGGUUUAUUUUUUAGCACCUGGCGGCUCUUUUUACUUCUCAUCCGUAAAUAAUCUGCUCUUUCAUGUGAUUCAGUUUAUUUUGAAAAGUCUCAACAGGAUCUUGAGCUUUAUUGUGAAAGGUUUAUGUGGAACAUAAACAAGCGGACACGCGAUGGUGUUACCGUUGUUGUUGCUAACCACAACGCACAAAAACAGGCCCUUGUCCGUCUGUAGUGCGGUUAUAUUAAAUAUAAGAGAAAGAGAGAACUUUAAGAAAUGAAUAUAACCACUACAGGGACCAUCAGAACCAUGAGAAAAUAUUGUCGUAAACAGUUUAUUUUGCAACAACACGAAACAAACGACAGCGUAAAAUGAAACGAUAGACGUUUUUAUAUCGUCAUCCGAUAUAUAUCGUUAUAUCAAACAGCCCUACCUUCAGGACCAUCGCAUUCAGUUUUCGAGUUGGUGUGUCCACGGUGAGCCAGAUCAUCUCCCAGGUAGCGACGGCCAUCUGGGACUGUCUAGUG
ensembl:lncRNA